GACGAACGCUGGCGGCGUGCUUAACACAUGCAAGUCGAACGGGGUUAAGGAGCUUGCUUCUUAACUUAGUGGCGAACGGGUGAGUAACGCGUGAGGAACCUGCCUUUCAGUGGGGGACAACAGUUGGAAACGACUGCUAAUACCGCAUGAUACUAUCGGGCCGCAUGGUCUGGUAGUCAAAGAUUUAUUGCUGAAAGAUGGCCUCGCGUCUGAUUAGCCAGUUGGGGGGGUAACGGCCCACCAAGGCGACGAUCAGUAGACGGACUGGGAGGUUGACCGGCGACAUUGGGACUGAGAUACGGCCCAGACUCCUACGGGAGGCAGCAGUGGGGAAUAUUGGGCAAUGGGCGAAAGCCUGACCCAGCAACGCCGCGUGAAGGAAGAAGGCCUUCGGGUUGUAAACUUCUUUUACCAGGGACGAACACAAUGACGGUACCUGGAGAAAAAGCAACGGCUAACUACGUGCCAGCAGCCGCCGUAACAC
rnacentral:rRNA from 1 species